rnacentral:rRNA from 2 species
UCAUUCAUAGAGUGUAAAGGCAUAAGGGAGCUUGACUGCGAGACCUACAAGUCGAGCAGGGUCGAAAGACGGACUUAGUGAUCCGGUGGUUCCGCAUGGAAGGGCCAUCGCUCAACGGAUAAAAGCUACCCCGGGGAUAACAGGCUUAUCUCCCCCAAGAGUUCACAUCGACGGGGAGGUUUGGCACCUCGAUGUCGGCUCAUCGCAUCCUGGGGCUGUAGUCGGUCCCAAGGGUUGGGCUGUUCGCCCAUUAAAGCGGUACGCUAGCUGGGUUCAGAACGUCGUGAGACAGUUCGGUCCCUAUCCGUCGUGGGCGUAGGAAAUUUGAGAGGAGCUGUCCUUAGUACGAGAGGAACCGGG